UGGGUUGUCCUUAUUCUUUUUUGCAUGCCUACUCAGCCCAGACUCACUAUCUUUGGGAACUAUGCCCCCAACACACACACACACACACACACACACACACACACACACACAAAUGAAUUCCUGUAGCCAUAACCAUAUUAUAUGGCCAUGGCGCUUUGGCACAGUUGGUUGGACCAGGAAUGGACCUUUGCCCUUAAGGAAAUUCAAUUCAUUGGCUGUGUAUGGCCAGUCAGAUGAUCUCUGGUGGAUGUGAAUCAAUGGAUGAGAAGACUGAGUACUGAUGGGCAGUCCUCUAAUUCUGGACCAUUAGACCGACAGUCCAUACUUUCCUACAAAGUCACCAGUUCUUGAGGCUUAGUUCAGCUUUCCUUGGAUUCUGUGAUGUACCCAAUAUCUUUCCAUAAAUACUCUCCUUCUCUCUCUCUGUCUGUCUCUCUCUCUCUCCUCUUUCUGCUUACUUGACUGGAUUUCUGUUAUAUGAAACUAAAUAUUCCAUAAGACACUCUAUCUUUGAGAAGGCCCCUACUGUUACUCUCAAACAUCAAACCAUAUGCCCCCGCUACUUCCAAAACUGUUUUUAAAAAAAGAUUUACUUAUUUUAGGGGAGAGAGAGAGCAUAUGUGAGUAGGAGGAGGGACAGAGGGACAGGAAGAGGGAAAGAGAAUCCACAGGCAGACACCCCACAGAGUGUGAGGCCCCACACAGGGCUUGAUCCAAGAGUCAUCUGCUUUAAGUGAAUGAAUCACCCAGGCGCCUCCUCUACUACCAAACUCUUAAUCUCAAAUCUUAGUAACCAUUUAAACCAUGCUUCUCAAUGCAGGCUACAAUUGAAAAUUACUUGGAAAUUUUAUAAAACCUAUCAGUGCCCCAGCCACAUCCUACACUGGUUGAGUCUGAAACUCCAAGUGCAGGGCCUUGAUAUUAAAAAUGACUUUAAGAUUCCCCAGAUAAUUCUAAGAACCACCCAAGACGGCAAAACACUGGAAUAUGACAAUAACCACCCAUUCUGCCGAUGUAUCCAGUGAAGGUCAUACUCACUGUAAACUUUAUCUGGCUGUGAUGUCUGUGCUAAGAAAAUCAGAUAUAGAAACAUCAUUAAAAAAAACAACAGACAGGGAGCCUGGGUGGCUCAGUCAGUUGGGCAUCUGCCUUCAGCUUGGGUCAUGAUCCCAGGGUCCCAGGAUCAAGCCUCUCUUCAGGCUCCCUGCUCGGUGGGGAGUCUGCUUCUCCUUCUCUCUCUGCCUCCUCCCCCCGCUCAUGCUUUGUCUCUCUCUCUCUCUCUCUCUCUCUCAAGUAAAUAAAUAAAAUCUUCUUUAAAAAUUAUCAAGGUAAUUCUUCCCUUUAAAGGAGAUUUAUUUCUCUUUCCAAUAUGGUAUUUUUUAC
rnacentral:lncRNA from 1 species